rnacentral:rRNA from 5 species
UGGGAGUGGGUUGCAAAAGAAGUAGGUAGCUUAACCUUCGGGAGGGCGCUUACCACUUUGUGAUUCAUGACUGGGGUGAAGUCGUAACAAGGUAACCGUAGGGGAACCUGCGGUUGGAUCACCUCCUUACCUUAAAGAA